rnacentral:pre_miRNA from 1 species
UCUGGGCAGAGCUGCAGGAGGGGAGAGCGGGGGCCGACAUCCGUGCCACCCUGCCACCUGCCCUGUCUCUUCGGCCCACAG